rnacentral:rRNA from 1 species
GACGAACGCUGGCGGCGUGCCUAACACAUGCAAGUCGAACGAAGUAUAUUUUUCGGAAUAUACUUAGUGGCGGACGGGUGAGUAACGCGUGAACAAUCUGCCCUAUACAAAGGAAUAGCCUCGGGAAACCGGGAUUAAAACCAUAUAACACUUUUCGGUCGCAUGACUGAGAAGUCAAAUUGAUUAAGAGGUAUAGGAUGAGUUCGCGUCUGAUUAGCUAGUUGGUGAGGUAAUGGCUCACCAAGGCGACGAUCAGUAGCCGGCCUGAGAGGGUGAACGGCCACACUGGAACUGAGACACGGUCCAGACUCCUACGGGAGGCUG